GUGAGUCAUCGAAUCUUUGAACGCACAUUGCGCCCCUUGGUAUUCCGGGGGGCACGUCUGUUCGAGCGUCAGUGCAAAACCUCCGGCAGCGGUUUUUUGACCGCGAGCCGGGUCUCUGGCGGCGGCGUCACCCCUCCCACUCCGGUGGGAGGGUACUGCGCCCCCGCUUAAAUUUGUGAAGUUUGCGGGCCCGUACCACACGACCAUCACGUAGUAAAUUAUUUUCUCAUGACGGUAUCGGGUGUAAGGGUGCCCCGCCUCGCCACAACUUUCUGACGUUUUGACCUCAGAUCAGACGAGUAUACCCGCUGAACUUAAGCAUAUCAAUAAGCGGAGG
rnacentral:rRNA from 1 species